rnacentral:rRNA from 1 species
UACGUAGGGGGCAAGCGUUGUCCGGAAUCAUUGGGCGUAAAGCGCGCGUAGGCGGCCCGGUAAGUCCGUUGUGAAAGUCAAAGGCUCAACCUUUGAACGCCGAUGGAUACUGCCGGGCUAGAGUCCGGAAGAGGCGAGUGGAAUUCCUGGUGUAGCGGUGGAAUGCGCAGAUAUCAGGAGGAACACCGGUGGCGAAGGCGGGUCUCUGGGCAACAACUGACGCUGAGGAGCGAAAGCGUGGGGAGCGAACAGG